CAGUAGCCACGGUAAUACAGAGGAUGCAAGCGUUAUCCGGAAUGAUUGGGCGUAAAGGGCGCGUAGGCGGUUUGUACAGUUGGGUGUGAAAUUCCUGGGCUUAACCUGGGGGCUGCACCCAGUACGUGCAGGCUUGAGUGUGGAAGAGGGUCGUGGAAUUCCCAGUGUAGAGGUGAAAUUCUUAGAUAUUGGGAAGAACACCGGUGGCGAAGGCGGCGACCUGGUCCAUUACUGACGCUGAGGCGCGAAAGCGUGGGGAGCAAACAGGAUUAGAUACCCGUGUAGUCCCUGUCUCUUAUAC
rnacentral:rRNA from 1 species